rnacentral:rRNA from 1 species
GUAGUUAGCCGGGGCUUCCUCACAAGGUACCGUCACUUCUUCGUCCCUUGCGACAGAGGUUUACAACCCGAAAGCCUUCUUCCCUCACGCGGCGUUGCUGGGUCAGGCUUGCGCCCAUUGCCCAAUAUUCCCCACUGCUGCCUCCCGUAGGAGUCUGGACCGUGUCUCAGUUCCAGUGUGGCCGAUCAGCCUCUCAGCUCGGCUACCCAUCGUCGGCAUGGUGGGCCGUUACCCCGCCAUCUACCUAAUGGGACGCGAACCCCUCCUAAAGCGAUAAAUCUUUGACCCCUCCCUGAUGCCAGGCUGUGGUCUCAUGCGGUAUUAGCACCGAUUUCUCGACGUUAUCCCCCUCUUUAGGUCAGGUUGUUCACGCGUUACUCACCCGUUCGCCACUCAGUCACCUUGGCGAUUCCACUCUUAGCAAGCUAAUUGCUUCUUCAAUAAGGUGCUUCGUUCGACUUGCAUGUGUUAAGCACGCCGCCAGCGUUCAUCCUGAGCCAGGAUCAAACUCUGA